CGUCGCCCGCCGCGGGCCGCGUCGUUAGCUGGGAAAGGUCUGAGGUUUCUCGCGCACGGCUUGCAACACGCUGGUGCCCGGGGAAGUUUCUCAUCGGUACAAAGUGGUGUUUAGGCUUCCUGGGAAUUCUCGGUGGCGGCGGAAGUGAGGCCGGCGCAGUUGUUUGUGCUGAGCUCACCUGGAUCGUGGCUGCAAGGCGACACGCUCGGGCGUUGUGGCCCUGCAUGAAGGGCUGCCGGAGAGAACGCACGUGAACCGUUCAGCUCUCGCUGCUCUUCGGGUGUUGCAGCCCUGCCCAUUCCCUGACCGACGCAACUACGGUGUAUAACAUAAACCAGACAUAAAGGUGCCUGCUGUAGUGGGUCAUCAUGUAUUUUGAACUGUGUCUCUCUCAAAGAAUACUUCUGGACAAGUCAUUGGAUGAAGCAAUACUCCCCUUCCAUCUCUAUCCUUUUGAAGAGUGCCAGAGCCAACAUUAUUGUUAACCAUAUCUUAGAAGAUCUUUGCUUUGUCAACUGAGAAGGCAAGUUCUCAUGUAGUAUAUGGGGGCCAGUGAAAGCUACACAAGAAACACAGAAAGCAGGUAGAACAUUACUGAUGUAAUUGGCACUUAAGAAAGUUGAUAUGAAAUUCUAGUAGAAAAUGGAUUUCCCAGUAUUAUCAGGGUGCCUCUAUGUGUGGUAAAAAGCUGUUUGGACUGUUGCUAAGGAGGUAAAAAUCCUGUCAAAUCUAUGCUAUUGAGAAGAAUGAAAUAGAACGAGGUAUUAGCCCAAAGAAGUAAGUAUUUUGGGCCAAAAAAUUACUAACUUAAUAAAAACAAUAUCUGGAUGCACAGAGUGGGUUUUCCAUCCAAACAAGCAUUUGGUGAAAUAAAGGGGCAAUUCAUCUGAAUAACAUUUUGUUUAGAAGUCUUUGAAUUAAAGUAA